GAUGAAGAACGUAGCGAAAUGCGAUAAGUAGUGUGAAUUGCAGAAUUCAGUGAAUCAUCGAAUCUUUGAACGCACAUUGCGCCCCUUGGUAUUCCAUGGGGCAUGCCUGUUCGAGCGUCAUUUGUACCUUCAAGCUCUGCUAGGUGUUGGGUGUUUGUCUCGCCUCCGCGUGUAGACUCGCCUCAAAACAAUUGGCAGCCGGCGUAUUGAUUUCGGAGCGCAGUACAUCUCGCGCUUUGCACUCAUAACGACGACGUCCAAAAGUACAUUUUUACACUCUUGACCUCGGAUCAGGUAGGGAUACCCGCUGAACUUAAGCAUAUCAAUAAGCGGAGGA
rnacentral:misc_RNA from 1 species